rnacentral:rRNA from 1 species
AACGAACGCUGGCGGCAGGCCUAACACAUGCAAGUCGAGCGCCCCGCAAGGGGAGCGGCGGACGGGUGAGUAACGCGUGGGAAUAUGCCCUUUGCUACGGAAUAGUCUCGGGAAACUGGGGGUAAUACCGUAUACGCCCUUUGGGGGAAAGAUUUAUCGGCGAAGGAUUAGCCCGCGUUGGAUUAGGUAGUUGGUGGGGUAAUGGCCUACCAAGCCGACGAUCCAUAGCUGGUUUGAGAGGAUGAUCAGCCACACUGGGACUGAGACACGGCCCAGACUCCUACGGGAGGCAGCAGUGGGGAAUCUUAGACAAUGGGGGCAACCCUGAUCUAGCCAUGCCGCGUGAGCGAUGAAGGCCUUAGGGUUGUAAAGCUCUUUCAGCUGGGAAGAUAAUGACGGUACCAGCAGAAGAAGCCCCGGCUAACUCCGUG